rnacentral:rRNA from 1 species
GACGUAGGUGGCAAGCGUUGUCCGGAGUUAUUGGGCGUAAAGCGCGCGCAGGCGGUUCGGUAAGUCCAUGGUGAAAGCGCCCGGCUCAACUGGGCGAGUGCCGUGGGGACUGCCGAGCUGGAGGGGAGCAGAGGCGAGUGGAAUUCCGGGUGUAGUGGUGAAAUGCGUAGAGAUCCGGAGGAACACCAGUGGCGAAGGCGGCUCGCUGGGCUCUACCUGAC